rnacentral:rRNA from 1 species
AGCGAACGCUGGCGGCAGGCUUAACACAUGCAAGUCGAGCGGGCGUAGCAAUACGUCAGCGGCAGACGGGUGAGUAACGCGUGGGAACAUACCUUUUGGUUCGGAACAACUGAGGGAAACUUCAGCUAAUACCGGAUAAGCCCUUACGGGGAAAGAUUUAUCGCCGAAAGAUUGGCCCGCGUCUGAUUAGCUUGUUGGUGAGGUAACGGCUCACCAAGGCGACGAUCAGUAGCUGGUCNGAGAGGAUGAUCAGCCACAUUGGGACUGAGACACGGCCCAAACUCCUACGGGAGGCAGCAGUGGGGAAUAUUGGACAAUGGGCGCAAGCCUGAUCCAGCCAUGCCGCGUGAGUGAUGAAGGCCCUAGGGUU